CAGCACCUCAAGUGGUCAGGAUGAUUAUUGGGCCUAAAGCAUCCGUAGCCGGCGCUGUAAGUUUUCGGUUAAAUCUGUACGCUCAACGUACAGGCUGCCGGGAAUACUGCAGCGCUAGGGAGUGGGAGAGGUAGACGGUACUCGGUAGGAAGGGGUAAAAUCCUUUGAUCUAUUGAUGACCACCUGUGGCGAAGGCGGUCUACCAGAACACGUCCGACGGUGAGGGAUGAAAACUGGGGGAGCAAACCGGAUUAGAUACCCGAGUAGUCC
rnacentral:rRNA from 1 species